AGAUGCUUGGCUGGUUCCUGACUUUCAGAAUAAAUACGCAAUGGGAUGAAACUGACUUUCUUCCAGAAUAUCAGAUCCUGAAAUGAUGUGGUGCAAAGGCGUAGAAAAACUCUAUCUUAUGAAUAGGGGAUGGCAUCGCUGUCUUGAAAAAGUAAUAUAGUCGGGGCACAGGAAGAUCAAUGAUGUUCUUUGGAUGGGUGAAGAGAUUUCUGUGAACUGUACCUUGAAAGUACAAGAUGAAGCUGUCCCUGUUAGUAAUUGAAUUGGAUGAAAUGUGAUUCGUUUGUUGUUAGAUGCUUUCUGGAGCCCUUGCAGACAUACUUCUUUAGGUAGUUGUACUAUAUUUCUCUAGUCAGACCUGUAGGCAUUGAAGGUUUUGGGGGAUGCUUCAUCCCUGUAUUGCUUUAUCAACAAUCUACCUUCUUGUGAA